CUCAGUGAUGAGCUUUGUGUUUCAUGUACAAAUGUAUUGUGCUUUAAUUUAUGUACAAAAAAAUUGAAAAACAGAUAUGUUACACAUAAACAAACGACAAUCACUGAAUUAUCGGAUCCUGACUUGGAACAGGCACAACCAUAACAAAUUGGCAGGGUAUAAGGAACUUUGAAAAUAUUUAGUUUUUGUGGUUUGGUCUAUUUUCCGGAUACUGUAAGCAAUAAGGCCCCUUUAUUUAGUGAAUGAAAUAAUUGUAAGAUGCACUUAGCUGUCUGUCAUAUUUUAUAUGAACUUGACCUCAUUUUCAUGCAUGGUUCAUUGGUCAAUGAAACACUGCAUUGUUUUGUCAGUUUAUCAUAUGUUUAAAGUUACAGGUAGAUUAUAUUUGGUAGAUAUGAAACAAUUGUAAGGUGUGCAUGUCUGAAUGGCAGAUUCAUAUAUAAACCAUGACCGCAUUUUAUUGUUCUUUGGUCAAUGAUAAGUUUUCUUGGUUUUGUCAUUUUAUCAGGCCACAUUUAAAAGAAUGUCUGUUUCCCCUCCCCCGGGUCUACCCUUUGUAAACAGACCAGGAAGGCAGGUUUUUUUUAGCUCACCUGACCUGAAAGGUCAAGUGAGCUUUUCUCAUCACUUGGCGUUCGUCGUCUGUCGUCCUGCGUCCGUCGUCCGUAAACUUUUACAAAAAUCUUCUCCUCUGAAACUACUUGGCCAAAUUCUACCAAACUUGGCCACAAUCAUCCUUGGGGUAUCUAGUUUAAAAAAUGUGUGGCGUGACCUGUCAAACCAACCAAGAUGGCCGCCAUGGCUAAAAAUAGAACAUAGGGG
rnacentral:lncRNA from 1 species